rnacentral:lncRNA from 1 species
UUGUUGAGGACGAACGGAAGAAGAAUAAAAUUUUGGUUGUGGUUAUGAGUGGUGAGCGUUCUAUGUGAUAGUGGAGAGGAUGAAAAGUGAGCCAGAGAAGGUGAGAGGAUCCGUUGAUUUUGAAAAAGUCCUCUCUUCUUUCUUUCUUUUUUUUGGAGACAGAGAAUGUGUGUGUAGUCAUGAGUGGAAUCCCCCUCUUUAACAUUUCCAGAGAGAGAGUAUUUGAGUGGAGAGUUCUUUUUCAUUUUUAUUUUUCUGAAAGAGAGAGAUUUAAUUUUUGUUUGUUACUAGUGGAGAGCGUUAUUGAGGGAGAGGGCAUGUUUGGAUAAGGAUAGAAAAGAAACGGUUUUGGAUCGUCCUCUCAAUGACUGCC